AGGCAAGUGUCAGACAGCAUUAACCCCACUGCACCUCCCAGGCUGGGAUCAUCUCCUGCCCUGGAGCCAAGCCGUCGGAGCCGCCAGCACGCAAGAGCAGUAGCAGCGGCGGCGGCGGCAACUUCGGGACUGGCAAGAAGCCAGGGCGGGGGUGGUCGGCGUCCCCCGGCCUCUCAUUAGAGCGCUUAAGUACUGCGAGUGGAGAAAAGUAAACACCGGCAAGUGCAGCUGUGUCGGGGGAGGGUGGAUAUUAUCCCCCCUCCCACCGCCCCUUUGGCUCUGCCUCCCAGAGAGCCCCGAGAGGUCCCGGCUGCCGCUGCCCGGACAGCGCGCUCGGGGCUGCAGAGCCAGAGGAGCUGAGAAAGGAGCAGACGGGCGGCGCGCAGUCUGGAGAGAGAGAACGGAAAGGAACACAGCUAAUGUUGGGCAAUUUGCAGGUGCAUUCAUGCUUUUGACCAAACAGAAUGCCAUUUGAUGCUGACAUAUCAUUGGCUGCUGCUCUGGGGUUGGGUACCUACCACACAGCAUGGAGAACCUCUCACUCUCUUCUCCCAAGUCAGCUCACCACCCAGUACCUCCAGCUUGUUUUUCCAGAUUGUUAAAGUUUAUUGAAAUGGUCAAAAAGGCAAACAUUUGAUUGUAUUUGCUACUACAUUAUGCCACGUGAAUAACAUUUUAAAAUAAAAGACAAAUAAUAUCUAAAUCAUUACUAGAAAAACAAAUAGUCAAUUUAAGGCACCUUAGGUGAAAGCUAAUUUCAAAAAUAUAUACAAAAGUAACAUUGUUUUAAAUGUAACAAGUCUCCCCUCCACAGACUUUGGCCAAAAUUUUGCUUUCCUCCUCAUAGAAGAAAUGGGUGUUAAAGAUGUAGGAGACAAAUUGAGCGUAAAGACUUUCAAUCUUAUUUUAGGGUAAAUUACUUUAAGGUAUGCCGAUUAAAUGGAAUCAGUAUUUCCCUGGUCAGACUGCUACAAAUCAGAUCAUCUUAAUACAAGUCUGAACCAUAGGAAUCAUAGCAUAGAUGUAUUUUCUCUGAGACAAGUGCAAGAAUAGAAGAAAAGAUGAUGAGAAGGCAUCCAGAUCUAUCACUUCAGCCUUAUGUGGUGUGUCCACAUGUUUGGAUUGCAGACAAAGGUCUGUGGAUGCCCUUCCUUGGUAUUUGUUGACUGAAUUUCACAACAGAAAGUGGGGCAUGACAUACAGCCGAAUGAUUUUCCCUGUUUAAGCAUUUAAGUUAAGCAAUAAGCUAUUCACUAGUAAGUUAGAAAGGUCAAAGCAAGC